UACGUAGGGUGCAAGCGUUGUCCGGAAUUAUUGGGCGUAAAGAGCUCGUAGGCGGUUUGUCGCGUCGAAUGUGAAAACCCGGGGCUCAACUCCGGGCCUGCAUUCGAUACGGGCAGACUAGAGUUCGGUAGGGGAGACUGGAAUUCCUGGUGUAGCGGUGGAAUGCGCAGAUAUCAGGAGGAACACCGAUGGCGAAGGCGCUCGCUGGGACGGUACUGACGCUGAGGCGCGAAAGCGUGGGGAGCGAACAGG
rnacentral:rRNA from 1 species